rnacentral:rRNA from 1 species
CCUACGGGUGGCAGCAGUGGGGAAUAUUGGACAAUGGGCGAAAGCCUGAUCCAGCGACGCCGCGUGAAGGAAGAAGGGUUUCGGCGUGUAAACCUCUAUCAACAGGGACGAAAGAAAUGACGGUACCUGACUAAGAAGCCCCGGCUAACUACGUGCCAGCAGCCGCGGUAAUACGUAGGGGGCAAGCGUUAUCCGGAAUUACUGGGUGUAAAGGGUGAGUAGGCGGGAUAGUAAGCCAGAUGUGAAAGCCCUGGGCCUAACCCCGGGAGUGCAUUUGAAACUAUCGAGCUUGAGUGCAGGAGAGGAAAGCGGAAUUCCUAGUGUAGCGGUGAAAUGCGUAGAUAUUAGGAAGAACACCAGUGGCGAAGGCGGCUUUCUGGACUGAAACUGACGCUGAGGCACGAAAGCGUGGGGAGCGAACAGGAUUAGAUACCCUGGUAGUC